CCUACGGGUGGCAGCAGUGAGGAAUAUUGGUCAAUGGGCGCAAGCCUGAACCAGCCAAGUCGCGUGAGGGAUGACGGUCCUAUGGAUUGUAAACCUCUUUUGUCGGGGAGCAAGGCCCGCCACGUGUGGCGGGAAGGAGAGUACCCGAAGAAAAAGCAUCGGCUAACUCCGUGCCGGCAGCCGCGGUAAUACGGAGGAUGCGAGCGUUAUCCGGAUUUAUUGGGUUUAAAGGGUGCGUAGGCGGAAGUUUAAGUCAGAGGUCAAAUGUCGGUGCUCAACACCGGCCUGCCGUUGAAACGGGUCAUCUUGAGUGGUCGAGAAGUAUGCGGAAUGCGUGGGGUAGCGGGGAAAUGCAUAGAUAUCACGCAGAACUCCGAGUGGGAAGGCAGCAUACCGGCGCUCAACUGACGCUGAGGCACGAAAGCGUGGGGAUCGAACAGGAUUAGAUACCCUUGUAGUC
rnacentral:rRNA from 1 species